rnacentral:misc_RNA from 1 species
UUUCCGUAGGUGAACCUGCGGAAGGAUCAUUACAGAGUUCAUGCCCGUAAGGGUUGACCUCCCACCCUUGUGUAUUAUUAGGUUGUUGCUUUGGCGGGCGCGAGGUCGCCAGAGAAUACCGAAACUCUGUUUAUUAAUGUCGUCUGAGUACUAUAUAAUAGUUAAAACUUUAAACAACGGAUCUCUUGGUUCUG